UAGUCCUAAAACCAAUGAGCAACCAGAAGCUAAAAAUCUACCAAAAACAUCCGUCCCGGAAAAGUAGUACAAGUGGCACUUCAGAAGGAGAGAGAGCAAGUUCUUACAGUGAAUUGAAAAUGAAUCGAGGAAUGCUAGUGAGUAGGCUGCAACGCAAGAUGCUAAAGGAAAGCGACAAAAUGACUCAUGCUGCUGUUUUAGUUCUUGGUAUUGGACUCUAUCUAAAAUCAUCAUUUGAAAUAAACCAUAAAUGCUGAUAAGGUGAAAUGAUCUGCAUCUCAUGUAUGCUCAUUCAACACGACAGAUAAAGCAUAACAAGUUACGAUAGAAGGGAAAAUGGGACCAAUAAGCAGAAUAGCUCUGCAUCUCAGGCCUGUAACCAUCAAUGCAGCAGUUAAGAAAGAAGAAGACUACUCGGGCAUGUCAUUUAGUCAACUGAAGUAUGACAAGAUUUUGUAUCCAAGACAUCUGUGACAUUUCCUGUAAUUAAGAACUGCUAGAGCUCUUUGCCAAAUGACAUAGCAGCAUCCUUCCUUUGCUAAACAAAAGGAAAUAAAAGAGGGAGAGACAUAGAUUAAUAAGAAAUAACUGUAUGGUUGAGCAGCUAUUUAGCAGAGUAUCUACUCUGAUGAUCAUUGUUUGUUGGAUUUCCAAUCCAAAACUAUAUGCAAGGACCUGACACCAAAUCACCAAUUGGAUUAACUGACUUGUAAAAUAAGAUCAAUCUUAGCAGGUAAAGAUUGUCUUGUAUGGAGCAGCUAAUUAGAUUUUCCACAUGAGAGAGAGAGUAGAUCAAUCUUAGCAGGUAAAGAUUGUUUUGUAUGGAGCAGCUAAUUAGAUUUUCCACAUGAGAGAGAGAGAGAGAGAUGUCAUGGUGUCGUUGCAGCUAAUGAUUUAGUUCCUCUAGGCAGAUUGCACUGAAGAAAGUUACUUCUCAAAUCUUUUAGAGAUUUAGCUUCUGUACUUUCCAUGAAAGGUUCAGUUUUUUCAUCUUCCAAGUCAAAAGAACGUAGAAAAGUAAAAGAAAUGCAUUAGCUAGCAGCUAUAUCCAUUUGGCUCGAGAUGUCAAAAGAAAGUAAGAAAGUAAAGAAGGGUAUUAGCUAUUAGCUUACAUUUUGUAACAGCUAUAUAAACGACCUUGGCAGCAUUUCUUCUGCCUGUUUCUUGGACUUUGCAGCAUCCUCAUGAAAGACUUUUCCUUCAGUUUCUACAUUUGAGUAGGAAGAAUGAAUUUGAGAAAAAAGGGUGAUAAAUGCUUCUUGAUUUUCUAAAACAUCAAACAGUUUAGAAAAUAUUUCAAUUUAUCAAAACAACAAAUAUAAACCAGAUAGAGUAGAGAUAUACAGGACAGGUUGACUACCUAGACGAUGAGUGUUUUACCUUUUGAAAGGAAACUGUUGCCGGUGUCAUUAAUGCAAUAUAUGAAACAUAAUCUUCUGCUUCCUCUGCAGUCCAGUAUGCUCCAUGAGGACCAUUGAACAGUUCACCAGCCAAUGCUGAGAGCAUGGCUUAACUUCAGUAUACUUGCGAUUCUUGAGCCACAAUCAGGGUUAAACCAAAGUAUAUUGGUAUCCUGCAAGCAUCUUCUUGUUUCUGUCAGCAAUUUCAUCAGAGGAUGCAACCCGAAUGUCGUAAAUCCAGGACGAAUGCCAGCACCAUAAUUCACUCUCUCGUGUAACACGGAAAUUAGCUUCUCAGCUGACCUGGAGCUCUCAAUGGUGUCACGUCAGCUCUAUUGUCACAAUUAUGAUUGAUGUAACCAAGACCUUAGAAACGAUCAAGAAUAAUGUUUCUACAGCAAAUUCUAAGUUACAGGAAAUUGUUAUUGAAAUUCAAAAAGUAAGAAAAUGAUAAUACCUGAAGAUAACUAAAUACCACUGAAAAUGAUAAUCCUAGUAGACUUAUAAUGUGCACACAUAAGGAAACUCACGUUACUUCUCAUAUUAAGAGUGCAAUAAAAUAUGAUCCAGAACAAAAAAGCAGAGUGGCAAAAGAACUAAAAAUCAGAACAGGUGUACCUCUUUAAUAAGCUAGCUUGGAAAGCUUAAGCAAUGUUCUAAUUGCAUGCUUUCGACUUCUGCCAUUCCAUUGGAUGCAAUUUCUUUGGCCAAGGUAAAAGGAAAUUACAUCAUAUUGAUAACAAGUAAAAAAGAUAUUCACUUCUAACUUUACGAGUGAAAUUGUGGUAUCAUGUUAAGCAAAGAAGGAUCCUUCGCUAUAACAUCUAUUAGCAACUUUACUGUACUUGCAUCGAAUGAGAAGUCCCUUCCAGCCAUUUCCUUCAAAAAAGUUGUCAUUUCACUAGUUUUGCCAAACUUGAGAAAUCCCCGCACAAUAAUAUUGUAAGUGGCGUUGUCAGGCGAACAACCAUUGUGCUCCAUUUUUUUUAGCAUAUCUUUAGCUUCAUCUAACAAUCCUUCUAUACAAAAUCCACUUAUAAUUGUAUUAUAUGUUAUCACAUUAGGAAACAAUCCAAUCAAAGAAAGCUUCUCAAAAAUAGCACGAGCUUUGUCGAGCUGACCAUUUUUGCACAAUCCGUCAAUAAUAACUGUGUAAAGUUCAAUAUCAGUAUCUUCUCUCUUUCUUUCCAACUCAUGAAAUACCAACAUAGCUUUCUCAACAAGUCCAUUCUGAAAAUUUUCAAUAUCAGUAUCUUCUCUCUUUUUUUCCAGCUCAUGAAAUAGAGACAUAGCUUUUUCAACAAGUCCAUUAUGAAAAUAACCACGGAGCAAAAUGCUAUUUGUGCAUAAAUCAGGUAUGAGCCCCAGAGAAAGCAUAUCAGCAAAGAAUUUUUGCGCAAUGUUAGUUCUUCCAGCAUCAAAUAGACCUUUCAAGAUAGUACUAUAUGUAACAAUGCUAGGUUUCAAUCCAUUUCGAGAAAUUUCAUAAAACAAACGCAUGGCCUCAUCCAAUUUCUUUUUCUUACAGUAUCCAUUUAUUAAUGUGUUAUAGCUAACAAUGGUAGGCUUAAUGCUCUUAUCUACCAUCGAAUCAAAAAGUCUCCUUGCUCUAUCCAUUUGACCUCGCAAGCAAUAUCCAUCGAUUAUCACACUGUAGGUGAGCACAUUAGGCUCCACACCUUUUCCAUUCAUGUGUCUCAUUACCUCCCCAGCAUCUUCAACUUUCCCUUCUUUGCAUAGACCAUCUAUCAGUAUGUUGAAGGUGCAGACAUUUGGAUGGCAUCUUCGACUCCCCUCUUUGCAUAGUCCAUCUGUCAUUAUGGUCAAGGUGCGCACAUCUGGAUAAAUAUUCGAAUUUACCAUUUCAGAGAACAAAGUCCUAGCCUUUUCCUACACACCAAACUUACACAAACCAUCCAUCAAUGAAUUAUAUGUGACAAUGUCCGGAGGAAUGCUGUUUUGUUUCAUCUCUUCGAAUAGGAUAAUUGCAGCAUCCAACAUUCUACCUUGCAAAGAGCAUCUAUAGCAAUGUUAUAGAUGCAUGCAUUGGGCUUAGUGCUUCCUUUUUCCAUUACCCGUAGCAAAUCGAAUGCUUUUUGAGUAUGACCCCUUUUGCUAAGCCCAUUCAUGACAAUUGAAUACAUGACUUCAUCUGGCUCACAAAUAUGCUCUCUCACCAACUUUUUGAACAAGUUAACUGCAUCUUUGAUUUUAUUUUCAGCAAAGAGUCCCCUUAGUAAGGUGCUAAAGGUGACAACAUUAAAUGGAAUGCCACUCUUCAAGUAAAUGGCUAACACUGAAAAUCCGCAGUCAGAACGAUGCAUUAGGCUAUAAUUGUUGAUCACUAUAUUCAAGAUGUAAUCAGUAAUUGGGAUAUUAGAUUUCAGCAUAUGUCGAAAAAGGGAAACAACAGAAGAGUAAUGCUUCAUAUUUACCAGUCUUUAAUAAUUUGUAUUAUUUUCUUGAAAAAUACUUUAUAUAGUUGUAUCUUACUAGGAUUAAAGAAAUAUUUUGAGCAUACGUUAUAUAUUUUGUUCUACGAAGAUUUUACCGCAAAAAAAUUCCAAAAAACCCGAAUAACCAGAAAAAAUCCGAGAAAAACCGAUAUUAAAAACCCGAAUUUAUUGGUUUGAUUUGGUCUUUAAAUUUAAUAACCUGACACAAUUGGUUUGGUUUGGUAAUUGUAAAAUCCGAACCAACCCGAUCUAUGUACACCCCUACUAUUAUGUAUGUUUCAUUAUCAUUAUUACAUUUUAAAUUAUAUAUGAACAAAGCGAGUAAGAAAGACUUUUGUGGAUAUAUGAGAAUAAUUUACAAAUUGAACUACAAGAACUUAUUUCUUGUUGUGGCUUUUUACUAUAACAAUGAGAAGAAGCUUUUGGUAUUUGAACAUUUCAACCAUGUAUGUUAGCCUUGCAGUCUAUCUACACACGCUAUCAUUCAUACUCUUAUAAUUAAUCGAUUAUAACUCCUUUUUCUCCUAUUCAUCCUCAUUUUUCUUUUGUAUUUUUUCCUUUCACUCUCACCUAUGAUAUUAUGAUUUAAUUGAUCUCGGGUAUUAAUUCUAAUUUGGAGCCUCUACUUAGAUUGUAAUAUGUUAACUUCAGCAGAGAAACCAGCCAAUGAACACUAGUCCUAAAACCAGUGAGCAACCAGAAGGAUGCAACGCAAGAUGCUAAACGAGUGUUUGGCUAUUUUAGCGUAGGCAAUUUUGAUUCAUCUAGCAACACAGGCUAGAGCAGAAGUGCGUCCAGAUACCAUCAGCCUUUUGUAUUUAUCUUUAUACUUCAGCAGAACUUUCCUGUUGCAAAAAAUUGUGACAAAAGCAAAAUCAGAGAAAAGCUUGAUCUGUUAACUUCAGCAGAGAAACCAGCCAAUGAACACUAGUCCUAAAACCAGUGAGCAACCAGAAGGAUGCAACGCAAGAUGCUAAAGGAAAGCGACAAAAUGACUCCUGCCGCUGCUGCUGUUUUAGUUCUUGGUAUUGUGACUCUAUGUCACCACUAUCUAAUCAUUUGAAAUGAAACAUAAAUGCUAAUAAGGUGAAAUGAUCUGCAUCUCAUGUAUGC
rnacentral:lncRNA from 1 species